rnacentral:lncRNA from 1 species
AGGACACUUCCAUUUUUCACUUUCCUUUAUUAGGAUAUCAUCCUUUGGGUGCUUUCCAGUCUACCAGUGAAUGACAAACACUGCUAUAUCGAGAGUGUGAGAAAUUGAAUACCAUACAAGUUGUCAGACAUCUAAGACAGAAGAUCCCUGCAAGCAGUGAGGAGAGAUUGGAUACAUUCAUUGGAAUUACAGUCGUGACAAGCAAUAGGGCUGCCACUGAAGACAACCUUCGUCUGCUUGUUAGUGAAAAACAAAACAGGAGGGAAGAGAAUGGAGGUUGUGAUGUGAUAAGAAGGCAACGAAGAGCUGGAAGCAAACACCAACAACAGAUAAACGACAUGAUUCAAAAACAAAGGGUUUAAAGACACCAGAGAUAUGUCAGAAGUGUUCAUGGCUAAAGAGAGAUGUUGGAAAGCAAAUGAAUCCUCAUAGGUGUCUCACUUCAAAACUUUUAAAAAUACCUGCAAAAUCACCAAGAAGUUAGUUUACUUUGGACCUUUAUUUCUGUGUGCUUCCCAUACAACUCAGGAUACAUCACCAGCUUCUCUUCCAAAACAGUAAGACAUUGAAGGCUCAUAUUUUUCUUCUGUGCAUUAUGAUCCAAGUGUGUUCAUAAAAUAAGAUAUAGUAAG